GACGAACGCUGGCGGCGUGCUUAACACAUGCAAGUCGAACGGAAAGGCCUUUCUUUUGUGGGGUGCUCGAGUGUCGAACGUGUGAGCAACACGUUAGUAACCUGCCCUUGACUUUGGGAUAACUUCAGUAAACUGGGGCUAAUACCGGAUAGGAGCUCCUGCUGCAUGGUGGGGGUUGGAAAGUUUCGGCGGUUGGGGAUGGACUCGCGGCUUAUCAGCUUGUUGUUGGGGUAGUGGCAUACCAAGUCUUUGACGGUUAGCCGGCCGGAGCGGGUGACCGGCAACAUUAGGGCUAAGAAGAGGCGCAGAAUCCUACGGGGGGAGGCAGUGGGGAAUAAUGAACAAUGGGGGGAGACAUGAUGAAGCAACGCCGCGGGGGGGAUGAAGGAGUCCGGGGGGUAGACCGCUUCCGCCUGUGAAGAAGAGGGAGUGACGGUAAUGGGUAAAGAAGCACCGGCUAACUACGUG
rnacentral:rRNA from 1 species